UCUCCGUUGGUGAACCAGCGGAGGGAUCAUUACAGAGUUGCAAAACUCCCAAACCAUUGUGAACGUUACCUAUCCCGUUGCUUCGGCGGGCGGCCCGGGCCCCGCGCCCGGCGCCCCCCGGCCCCCCGUGGGCGCCCGCCGGAGGUAAACCAAACCCUUGAAUUGCAUGGCCUCUCUGUGUCUUCUGUACUGAAUAUGUCAAAACUUUCAACAACGGAUCUCUUGGUUCUG
rnacentral:misc_RNA from 1 species